GAGCGGAUGACGGGAGCUUGCUCCUUGAUUCAGCGGCGGACGGGUGAGUAAUGCCUAGGAAUCUGCCUGGUAGUGGGGGACAACGUUUCGAAAGGAACGCUAAUACCGCAUACGUCCUACGGGAGAAAGCAGGGGACCUUCGGGCCUUGCGCUAUCAGAUGAGCCUAGGUCGGAUUAGCUAGUUGGUGGGGUAAUGGCUCACCAAGGCGACGAUCCGUAACUGGUCUGAGAGGAUGAUCAGUCACACUGGAACUGAGACACGGUCCAGACUCCUACGGGAGGCAGCAGUGGGGGAUAUUGGACAAUGGGCGAAAGCCUGAUCCAGCCAUGCCGCGUGUGUGAAGAAGGUCUUCGGAUUGUAAAGCACUUUAACUUGGGAGGAGGGGCAGUAAGCUAAUACCUUGCUGUUUUGACGUUACCGACAGAAUAAGCACCGGCUAACUCUGUG
rnacentral:rRNA from 1 species